rnacentral:rRNA from 1 species
AGGACGAACGCUGGCGGCGCGCUUAACACAUGCAAGUCGAGCGAGAACCGGUCCUUCGGGACCGGGGAAAGCGGCGAACGGGUGAGUAACACGUGGGUAAUCAACCCUCGGUACCGGGAUAGCCCGAGGAAACUCGGAUUAAUACCGGAUGGCCCAGCAGCUCUUCGGGGCGGCUGGAAAAGGUAGCUUCGGCCUCCGACCGAGGACGAGCCCGCGGCGGAUUAGCUUGUUGGUGGGGUAAUGGCCCACCAAGGCGACGAUCCGUAGCUGGUCUGAGAGGACGAUCAGCCACACUGGGACUGAGACACGGCCCAGACUCCUACGGGAGGCAGCAGUGGGGAAUCUUGUACAAUGGGCGAAAGCCUGAUGCAGCGACGCCGCGUGAGGGAAGAAGGCUUUCGGGUGUAAACCUCUUUCAGGAGGGACGAAGCUACUCGGGUUAAUAGCCCAGAGGGUGACGGUACCUCCAGAAGAAGCCCGGCUAACUACGCGCCAGCAGCCGCGGUAA